rnacentral:rRNA from 1 species
UACGGGGGGGGCAAGCGUUGUUCGGAAUUACUGGGCGUAAAGGGCUCGUAGGCGGCCAACUAAGUCGGACGUGAAAUCCCCAGGCUUAACUUGGGAACUGCGUCCGAUACUGGAUGGCUUGAAUCCGGGAGAGGGAUGUGGAAUUCCAGGUGUAGCGGUGAAAUGCGUAGAUAUCUGGAGGAACACCGGUGGCGAAGGCGGCAUCCUGGACCGGUAUUGACGCUGAGGCGCGAAAGCUAGGGGAGCAAACGGG